UUCGGAUCCAAUAUGUCACCG
rnacentral:piRNA from 1 species